rnacentral:rRNA from 1 species
UACGUAGGGCGCAAGCGUUACUCGGAAUUACUGGGCGUAAAGCGUGCGUAGGUGGUUCGUUAAGUCUGAUGUGAAAGCCCUGGGCUCAACCUGGGAAUGGCAUUGGAAACUGGCGACCUAGAGUGCGGUAGAGGGUAGUGGAAUUCCCGGUGUAGCAGUGAAAUGCGUAGAGAUCGGGAGGAACAUCUGUGGCGAAGGCGACUACCUGGACCAGCACUGACACUGAGGCACGAAAGCGUGGGGAGCAAACAGG